AGCAGCCGCGGUAAUUCCAGCUCCAAUAGCGUAUAUUAAAGUUGUUGCAGUUAAAAAGCUCGUAGUUGAAUUUCGGGGUUCUACCGUUGGUCGGGCAAUUGUCUGUACUGGCGUGUGGAAUUUCUACCUUCUGGAGAACCAUCAUGUUAUUAAUUUAGCGUGGUGGGAAACCAGAACCUUUACCUUGAAAAAAUUAGAGUGUUCAAAGCAGGCUUACGUCUGAAUACAUUAGCAUGGAAUAAUAAAUAGGACGUGGUCCUGUUUGUGGUUUCUGAAUCACCGUAAUGAUUAAUAGGGAUAGUUGGGGGCAUUAGUAUUCAAUUGUCAGAGUGAAAUUCUUGGAUUUAUUGAAGACUAACUUCUGCGAAAGCAUUUGCCAAGGAUGUUUCAUUAAUCAAGAACGAAAGUUAGGGGAUCGAAGACGAUCAGAUACCGUCGUAGUCUUAACCAUAAACCUAUGCCGACUAGGGAUCGGACGAUGUUAAAUUUUCUUGUACUUCGUUCGGUCGUCCUUACGGGA
rnacentral:rRNA from 1 species